UACGGAGGGUGCGAGCGUUAUCCGGAUUCACUGGGUUUAAAGGGUGCGUAGGUGGGAAUGUAAGUCAGUGGUGAAAUCUCCGUGCUUAACACGGAAACUGCCAUUGAUACUAUGUUUCUUGAAUUUUCUGGAGGUCAGCGGAAUAUGUCAUGUAGCGGUGAAAUGCUUAGAUAUGACAUAGAACACCGAUUGCGAAGGCAGCUAACUACAGGGAUAUUGACACUGAGGCACGAAAGCGUGGGGAUCAAACAGG
rnacentral:rRNA from 1 species